UCCUUGAUACCGGUCACGCCGGAGCCGAUUUUGGCAAUGCGCGCGACGCCUUCAGAGCCAACGGGCGCCGGGAGUUUCGGCUUCACGCCGUAGAGGCCCCGGAUCAGUACGAGGUCGGACGGAUUGAUCGGAGAAAAUUCCAUGUCGACGACGAUCUCGCCGGCACCCGGUGCUCCGGGAUCGGGGAGGCUGACGGUCUCGACGACUUCCCAGGGCUUGCCGAAUGCAUUGAUCUGAACGUUGUGCAUGGUGACCUCCCAUAAUCGCCGCUUGGCGGCUUGGUGCGAAAUGUUGUAAUCAGUCUGAUAUU
rnacentral:misc_RNA from 1 species